UACAGGGGGUGCAAACGUUGCUCGGAAUCAUUUGGGCGUAAAGCGCACGUAGGCGGUCUGUUUAUGUCGGAUGUGAAAGCCCUCGGCUCAACUGAGGAAGUGCAUCCGAAACUGGCAGGCUAGAGUACUAAAGAGGGUCGCGGAAUUCCCGGUGUAGAGGUGAAAUUCGUAGAUAUCGGGAGGAACACCGGUGGCGAAGGCGGCGACCUGGGUAGAUACUGACGCUGAGGUGCGAAAGCGUGGGGAGCAAACAGG
rnacentral:rRNA from 1 species